rnacentral:rRNA from 1 species
CUCGUAGGCGGUUUGGUAAGUCGGUCGUGAAAGUCCGAGGCUCAACCUCGGAAUGCCGGUCGAUACUGCCAUGACUAGGGUUCGGUAGAGGAGAGUGGAAUUCUCGGUGUAGCGGUGAAAUGCGCAGAUAUCGAGAGGAACACCAGUAGCGAAGGCGGCUCUCUGGGCCGAUACCGACGCUGAGGAGCGAAAGCGUGGGGAGCGAACAGGAUUAGAUACCCUGGUAGUCC